rnacentral:rRNA from 1 species
GCUGGCGGCGUGCUUAACACAUGCAAGUCGAACGGGAUCCCUGGCAGCUUGCUGCCGGGGUGAGAGUGGCGAACGGGUGAGUAAUGCGUGACCGACCUGCCCCAUGCACCGGAAUAGCUCCUGGAAACGGGUGGUAAUGCCGGAUGUUCCACAUGAGCGCAUGCGAGUGUGGGAAAGGCUUUUUGCGGCAUGGGAUGGGGUCGCGUCCUAUCAGCUUGUUGGUGGGGUAACGGCCUACCAAGGCGUUGACGGGUAGCCGGCCUGAGAGGGCGACCGGCCACAUUGGGACUGAGAUACGGCCCAGACUCCUACGGGAGGCAGCAGUGGGGAAUAUUGCACAAUGGGCGCAAGCCUGAUGCAGCGACGCCGCGUGCGGGAUGGAGGCCUUCGGGUUGUAAACCGCUUUUGUUCAAGGGCAAGGCACGGUCUUUGGCCGUGUUGAGUGGAUUGUUCGAAUAAGCACCGGCUAACUACGUGCCAGCAGCCGCGGUAAUACGUAGGGUGCAAGCGUUAUCCGGAUUUAUUGGGCCUAAAGGGCUCGUAGGCGGUU